UAGGGAAUAUUGCUUAAUGGGCGAAAGCCUGGAGCAGCAACGCCGCGUGAACGAAGAAGGCCUUCGGGUCGUAAAGUUCUUUUACGUGGGAUGAGGAAGGACAGUACCACGAGAAUAAGUCUCGGCUAACUACGUGCCAGCAGCCGCGGUAAAACGUAGGAGACGAGCGUUAUCCGGAUUUACUGGGCGUAAAGCGCGUGUAGGAGGCGCUACAAGUUGGAUGUGAAAGCUCCCGGCUUAACUGGGAGAGGUCGUUCAAGACUGUAGGGCUAGAGUGAGGCAGAGGUAGAUGGAACUCCGGGAGUAGUGGUGAAAUGCGUAGAUAUCCGGAAGAACACCAGAGGCGAAAGCGAUCUACUGGGCCUAGACUGACACUGAGACGCGAAAGCCAGGGUAGCAAACGG
rnacentral:rRNA from 1 species